UACGGAGGAUCCAAGCGUUAUCCGGAUUUAUUGGGUUUAAAGGGUGCGUAGGCGGUUUUAUAAGUUAGAGGUGAAAUGUUCGGGCUUAACCCGGAAACUGCCUCUGAUACUGUAGGACUAGAGAGUAGUUGCGGUAGGCGGAAUGUAUGGUGUAGCGGUGAAAUGCUUAGAUAUCAUACAGAACACCGAUUGCGAAGGCAGCUUACCAAACUAUAUCUGACGUUGAGGCACGAAAGCGUGGGGAGCAAACAGG
rnacentral:rRNA from 1 species